CCUUUUGUAAAUUGCCGAGUCUCAGGUAUGUCUUUAUCAGCAGCAUGAAAACGGACAAACACACCCAUUUAUGAUAAAACUUAUUAGCAAACAAGGAAUAUAACAUUAUUAAUCAGUUAAAGAGUAUCUAUAAAAAUCCUACCAGAAAAAUCAUACUUUAUGAUCAAAUAUUGAAAGCUUUUCCCCAGAGAUAAGAAAUGGGACAAGAUUGCCCAAAACCAGCACUUCUACUCGUCAUUUGACUGGGAUCCUAGCCAAGGCAAUAAGACAAGAAAAAACACAAAGUAUAAGAACUGCAAAUAAAGACAUAAAAUUAUCAUUACUCAUAGGCAUCUUGAGUGUAUAUGUAGAAAAUCUACACAAAUCUGUAGGUAAACUCUAAAAACACAAAGAGAAUGUAGCAAGUUUACUGGAUACAAAAUAAAUAUGUAAAAGUCAAUUAUACAUUUAUAUAUUAGCAACACCAAAUAGAAAAUAGUUUUUUUAAACAUACCAUAUAUAAUAAAAACACCAAAUGCCUACAUGGUAUCAAAGACACAUACAGCUGGUGCCCAUGAACACACACCCCCAUCUGGAGGCUUUAUGUUACAUGGUUCAGUCAUUUAGUUUCUCUGGGUCACUGCUUACUCAUCUUUAAAUUGCCAAUACUGUGUUAGGUUUGGAUUGAUCACUUGUGCGACUGCUGGUAGUUUUAAAAUCCCAUAAUUCUCUUCUUGUCUCAUUCAUUAAUUCUGCAAAUACUAGCUGAUAUUCACCAAGUACCAGGCAUGGUGCUAAUCUGAUAAACAUAGGACAGAUGGUAAAUGUUUGUAGGAUAAAUGAGGAUGUGAGGCCCCACUGCUGUCUUUACAGAGCUCUAGCCUAGUGGGGAAGCCUGUACUCCAAGCACACAGUCAUAUCAUAGUGACUCCUGUUGUGAUAGCAAGAGGCACUGGAUCCUGGGAGCAGGUGGGAGUGGGGAGUUCUCAGAGGAGGUGCUACAUGAGUGGCUUCUUACAGGACAUCAGAAGCCAGCCCACCCUGGGUGGAGGAGCAAGGGUGACUGGGAGAAAUAAGGAAGUAGAGUGUGGGAAGGCCCCUUCCUGUUGUAAUGUUACGUUGACAUUACAUUCAUUCAAUCUGUUUACACCAAAAAGUUUCUACUAAAAAGUCUGUAAUGGAGAAGGCUUAAUAUAUUCUCUCCACUUUAUGUACUGAGGAUCAAUAACUUCUGAUGAUAGAAUGCAAGCACUAGAAUAUUCAGGGACACAGGUGUUGAUACAACCCUCAAAGCUAGCUAUGUCAUUGGCUGUUAGCCCUGCUAUGUUCCAGAAUGGUUGAGGCUGGGAGUUAAACCCCCAGCAGCCAGCUCAGCCAGCUGUGGCUUCUCUCCAGGUUCCAGCAGCACCAUUCCUACCUCCCUGAUGCUAAGACCCAGAAAGCUUCCAUGAUUCUCCCACGAUGCAUCUGUGCUCAUCACAGUUCAGGCUCUGCCCAUGAGAAAGCCCCCUUCAGACACAUGUUGGAUCCCAAUUUCUUGGUCGUCGCCAGGAUCAGAGAGUAAACUGUUGGCCUGCUUUUCAUUUAAAAGAGAAAAAAAAGUACAUAAGAAACUCGCCCAAAGUGCAAGUCAUUCCACAUGGCAAGUAGAGGAAUUGAUCCAACCCAUUUUCUAUGUUCUUCCUUUCUCCCCAGGAGGCUUUAGGGAGCUCAUCUACCUGACACUGGCCUUCCAUAAAGGGGGCAAGUAAGACAGAGAAGGAGCUUUGGACAAUGCAACUGAUAUUAUAUUUUUUAAACCCCCUAGCGAUGAACAAACUGUGCUUGUUUCCCUAAUAAACAUAAGGCUUUGCAAAAAUUGUUUUAUAAAGGGAAAGAAAAAAAGAAAUUUUAAAGCUGUGCUACUGUUUCAGCCAAAAUGGCUGGGAGAAGCAACAGCCAUCUCUCCGCAGGAGCAGCUGCACCCAGGAGGCCCGCCCUGAGAAGGGAGGCAGCGUCCCACAGCCAGAAAGAACAGCAGAGCAGCUCGCAAGGUCAUCUGUUGGGGAGGAGGUGUUUUCGUUACAAUUGCGAUUGUUGUGGUAGUAAUCAGUGGUGAUUAUCAUCCCACUCACCCAAACCCAGCCCGACGCCUCCGCCUCCGAGGGGGCUGCUGCCUUUUUCGGAAUGGUUGUAGAAAGGAGAUUAGCAUCAACACUCCAACAGGUAACCCAUCCACAGGCCUCCCUGAGAAGGGAGCUGAAUUACUUGCAUCAAUAUUUGAAAAACAAGCAAGGCAUAUCUCAGACUCAGGAGAUAUGCUGGAAACUAGAAAAAAUUGAUUUUUUUUUUUCAUAUUCACUGCCAGAUAUUGCUGUGCUACAUGGCUAUAUGCAGAUAGAGGACACGGUGAGGCUUAUCAUGCCAGUGAUAGAUCCCGCACUGUCUUUAAAGGAAUCAAUCAUUAAUUUAAAUCGUUUAUAGCAUGACUGUUAGCUUGUUAACCCAUUUUCUUCUGUGCAGGAAGAAAUUGAGUGACUGUGAGUAUACGAGCCUUGGAACGAAAGAGAUUUUUUUAACGGGUCGUUGCUGAUGGGUCUUCUAAGUCCUGCUUCUCACUUUGUCAUUUUAAAGAAAGAUUUUAUUUUGAAAAUUAAUAUCACAGAACCAAUACGUGCGUGUGGAAAGUUCACAUAGUGAACUCCUAGAAAUGUGAGAGGUAAAAAUUCGAACAUCUCCCAACCCUCUCCAAGCCCCAUCUGCAGGAAGAGUCACCUGGGUGGGCUGUCACCUCCACCUGUGAACUCACCACUUUUGAACAUCUCCGAACCCUCUCCAAGCCCCAUCUGCAGGAAGAGUCACCUGGGUGGGCUGUCACCUCCACCUGUGAAAUCACCACUUUUCUUUCUUUCCUUCUUGUCCCUAAGGAAGUGUAGGCGUCACGGGAGACUUGGUUGAGUGGUUUUCUCUUUGUGCCAAGCUCUACUUCCUUGGACUGAGACCUGCAUUCUUCCAGCUAACCAUCAUGCAUUUGAAGACCAAGUCAUAUGUUCCAAUGACUCUGCAUUCGUGGCAGGCUCUGCUGGGAGCCAAGGGGGCACACAGAGGCAGGGCCUGUGUUCCUGGGGCCUGUGAUCCAAGGGAAGAGGUGAGACACAAGCCCUACAGGAACCUGCAUGUGCCACCGUUGCCAUCAGAGCUGCCGCAGCUGUGUCCCACAGUGGCAGCCAGGAGAGCCCACAGCAGGAAGGCUCAUGCUGGUGAGGAGGUCUGGCAGGGUCAGCAUGGAGUAGAGGACUGAAGCGGGUCUUGGAGGAUCUUAGAGGAUGAGGAAGCUCCAGGAGGGAGGCUCACAGCAGUGCCUAGGUGCAAGGCAGGUGGCCUGGAGCACUGAGGAAGGACCGCUGACCACUAGCUGAAAUGAACAUUGUGGGUGGGGAAGGGGUUUGGCCUCAGACUCCUGGACUUCUGGGGAGUCCCGAUUUCAGAUGUUCUUUCUCACUGUCAAGCAACUUGUCAGACUGAGCCUUCUGAUAGUAACUGGGAAGAUAGUGCCAGCUCUUGUAGGGAAAUGUGAGGCUGUUGGAAAGUGAGUUUAGUCCUUAAUGCACCAAUAAGGAGAUUGGAAUUCAUCCCGUGGGCUGUAGAAAUCCAUCCAACGUUCUAGUCCAGAGAACCAUCCGAGAUUGCUACACUACUGUGACCAAUGACCACCAAUGUGGUGGCUUAAAACAGCAUAAAUUUCUUCUCCUACCCUUCUGGGGGUCAGAAGUCUAGAAUGGGUUUGUAGGGCUAUGUUCCUCCUCCCAGCGAGAACCCAUUCCCUUGUCUCUUCCAGCUUCUAGAUGCUGCCUAUGUCCCCUGGUCCAUGACUCCUUCCUCCAUGUUCAAAGCCCACAGCACAGCACCUCCAAUCUCUUUCUCUGCCUCCAUGGUCACUUUCCUUCUUGCUUUGAUCUCCUGCCUCCUUCGUAUAAGGAUCCCUGUGAUUAUAUCCAGUCCACCAAGACCACCUCUCCAUUUCAAGGUCCUUCAUCCCAACUGCAAAGUCCUUUUUGCUGUAUGGGCUGGUGCUAGCUGCUCUUGGAGCUUCCCCACUGUGUUGGUGUGACUGCCCCAGGACAGACAUCGCUGCUCUUCCGCUCCUGGCCCCUCCAGUGUGUGCUGAUGGUUGAGGAAGGGACUCUGGAGAUGCCGGCCCCCCAGCCAUCAAGCCCAGGAGGCCCCAUUCCAUGGAGCCCCCAGGGCCGGCAGCAAAGCCUGCGGCUGGCAAGGGGAGCAGGUGUGUUUGCAGAUUGGGUGGAGGCCGGCUCCCUGUGGCGCUCCUCUCCUCUCCCUCCACUCUCUCUCGUCUUGAAAGACCAUCUCACAAUCCAACUGCAGGACACACUUGCGCUCAGGAGCUCAUCAACUGAGGUGCUACAAACGUGAAAAACUGGAAACAAGCUGAACACCUGCCCACAGAGGAUGGCUGAGUAAAUGAUAUGCAUCCAUAUGUGUUACAUUUUGGAGUCAUUAAAAAACACGUUUAUGAAAUGUUAAUGGUCUGGGAAAAUGCUCAUAACAAAAUGUUAGGGCAAAAAACAGUUUCUACUUUCUGGUUUUCAAACUAGGAAUAUAAGUUAAUCAUUCAUAAUCAAAUUCAAAAAGCAAUAAAAAAUAAAAAUUUGAGAUUGUUUGAUAACAAUCAUCUAUGUGUAUCUGCAUAUGUAGACCUGUGUGUGUCUGUGUGCAUGUGAAUAAAAGGAAAUAUACCAAAAUGCUAACAGAUGUUAUCUCCAGGAGGGAGAAUUUUGGAUAAUCGUUAUUUUAUUUAUAUUUUUCUGUAUUUAUACAUUUUUAUAGUGAGCAUGGAUUAAUUUUUUAUUCUGAAAAUAGAAAAAAUAUAUAUGAACUAAAGAAUGGUUAUUUGCACCACUUCAGAUGGGACCAUGAGGCCGUGCCGUGAGCUCUGUGUUGGGUGGUGAUAUCUUUGGCUUAAGGCAGCCUCUGGUUGGGUGAGCACAGACAUUCUGAGAUGUCGGCUUUCUGGGUGUUUGAUACCUGGAGAUGCCUCCGAGCCAAAUGGGGCCCAUACAAAUCGUUCCAUCUGCCCAAAGUGGUGCUGGCAUGCCCUGUACCACCCCAGGAGCAGGGCCUCAUGGGAGGCAUUUAGGUCCUGGGGGCUCCACCUUUAUCAAUGGGUUCAUGAUGUCAUAAAAGGGCUGGAGUGAGUUGGGUCCUCUUUGCCCUUUCACCCUCCAGAGAAGGCAGCGUUUUCAAGGCACCAUCUUGGAAGCAGAGAGCAGUUCUCACCAGACACUGAACUGCAGCCCUUUGGCCUUGGACUUCCCAGCCUCCAGAAUGGUCCUGAGGCUGAGGAUGAAGAUGAGGCCCCUACCCAGAGCUGGGAGAGGUGGAGCUGCAUGAAGGUGCCACGUUGUGAAGCAAAACCUUAACAUCUCAUCCCCUUAUCUUUCAGGGGAUUCUGUUCUGGGAAGUGGCUCCCAAGAAAUUCCUGGUGGAUUGUGGGUGCUCUGAGGGUGAAGAGUGAAGGAGGAAGAUAAAAAGGAGCAGCCGCAGCUUUCCAGUGUAACCCCCGUCUGCUCUGCCCCACUGCCCAGACACCUGGCGUUGGGCAUCAGUGGAGCACGAACACUGUUCUCUAGGCACAUCCAUUCCGGGACCAUUCUCACAUCCUGAGGAUAAAUUUCUACAACACUCAUGCUGUGCUCUCCCUGAAAAUUUUGCCUCUGUUUUGAGCCAUUAUAAUGAUUCAAGUAGAGACUUCAGAGAAAUACUGCCUCUCGUGAAAAAGUCUCAAAUUCCUUCUCCAGAAACCUUUGCCUUUGCUUGGAAGACCUUCAUCUGAUGGGACGGGGCUCACACACGUGAUAGAAGGUCAUCUGCUUUACUCGAAGUCCACUGAUUAGACGCUCAUCACAUGGAAAAACACCUGCGCAGCAACAUCUGGACUAGGGUUUGGCUGUCAGCUGGGUGCCAUGGCCGAGCCGAGUCGACAGUUUGGACGGAUCAAAAGAUGUCUGGAAUAUGAGCAUGUGUACUUGCUUUCUGUUUGAAACACACGACCACACCCUCCACGACAUCAGCAUGAAGAAAGAGGGACCAGCCGCGGUCCCCAGGGCCAGCCCGGGAGAGGUACCUUUGGGACAGUUUCCCUCCGGGGAACCGGUGUGAGGCAAUACCGCCUGGAGAGAAGGAUAAAGGGGCCUCGCCUCAGGGCACAGCAGCCAAGAAAGUCCCCUCACGUCCUCCGCAGCUCUGCUCUCAAGAAGAGUCAGGAAACCUCCAGGAAUUGCCGCCUCGGGUGAUUUCAGCCGUUCCGUGCUCCAGCUGGGACUGGCUACAAACCUCACCAAAUGCGAGGGGAGUGGCUUUGACCUCGGGCUCUGUGCCUAUCGUUUUCACCUGAAACAGAAUUGACUUCAGCACAGCAGCAAAACAAAGACAGCUCUGAGUUAUACUGUAAUUCACAGCGGGAGAUUUACGAAUAUUAUUUUCCUGUAAAAUCUAGCAUUUUUCUCGUUGCUACUUGCAACCUGUAAGUGGUAUAAAGCUGUGCACCUAGCAGGAUGCCGCGCUGCCUGUGCGCGGGGUGCCCACGUGGGUACACAGCCCCCAUAAAUUGUGCCUUUGUGUUUAACUUGUCUAAUCAGCUCUCCAUAUCAAAACUUCAUAAGUGGUUGCUUCUCAUUUAAAGGUCUAGUAAAACCGCAAUUACUAUGGCUGUAAGACGCCUUGUUCCGAAAAGUGCAUUAAAUAGUUUUAUAGAUGUGGUUGGAAACACUUGUGCAGUUGUGUUUGCGAAAGCGAAUGAGUUCAUUAAUAAUGGGAUCCUGAGACAGAAAAAUAAGUUGGGAGCUGUGAAAACCACUUGGGCCUUUGAAGCUCGCUCUUGGAUGUAAUGUUUGAUGUCGGGACAAUUGUUUCUACUUCAUUAAAAGAAAUUGAGGUGUAACCUUAGUCAGCUUAACAGACCAGUGGCAUUUUGGCUGUAGCCUUUGGAGCAAAAGUCUGGAUGAGAAAGAAAAGCCAAGGGUUUCCUCUGAAAAUAAAAGACGGACAGCCUGCCUCCUGGCGAGGUGUUUGCAGCCAGCGGGAUCAGCAGCUCAAGCUCAGGAGCCUGGCGACUGCAGGCUGCCCCCAGACCCACGGACGAACAAGGUCACCAGCCGGGAUGCUCUGGGGUGGCGUGGUCUCCAGGUUCUUCCUGCAUGACUUUGGAAAACAGGUGAUGUCCCAACAAGGACGCAUCCUCGUCUCCCGCCCCUGCGUUUGAGCUCCAGCAGGCUGGUCCAACUUCACACAUUUAGACUGGAGACGCAGGAUGUCUUUGAACACGGAUGAAGAGGGUCCCAGAGCCCAGAGCUCCAUCUCUCCAUCCGCAUAGAUGCUGCCGGCCACACAGGCACAUUUCCAAAGUGCGUUUUUUGAAAAAUGAAAUCUCAGAUUUGCUGUAAAUUCAGGCCAGGAAGGAUCUAGCAGAUGGGCAAUGUGUAAGUUACAAACCUAAGGGAAGCUUUUGCAUUUACAAAAAAAAAGAAAAGAAAAAGAAAAAAGAAAAAAAAACACUCUUAAAUUGCAGCUCUUAAAAUAAAGGAAGAUUUUCUGUUUUCCAUAGUGACUCACUAAACCUUUAUUUAGACAGUUGGU